GUGUUUUAGCGCCAUACCGAGGGUUAGGCAUUGGUACAAGACUGUUGAAUCAUGUUCUUGAUCUCUGCUCCAAGCAAAAUAUAUCUGAGAUUUACUUGCAUGUGCAGACAAACAAUGAGGAUGCCAUCAACUUUUAUAAGAAAUUUGGAUUUGAAAUCACAGAUACCAUCCAGCACUAUUACACAAACAUUACACCACCUGACUGCUAUGUUCUUAUCAAAUUCAUCACUUGUCAGACGAAUAAAUGAUGUUGCAAAGUUCACAGUGAAGUUGGCAAUCGUUGGUUUUUCAUGCGGUUUAUUGGGCUGAACUUGGGAUUACUUGCACGGGGGACAUCAUAAUCUGAUUGGUGAAAUGACUUCUAACAGUUCUAUAAUGGUCUGUUAGACCAAUGACCUAUAAAUCAUUUAAUAG
rnacentral:misc_RNA from 1 species